rnacentral:misc_RNA from 1 species
CCAACUUUUAAGCUUACAUGGCAAUUUAAAUAUAGCUUUUCAUGACAACAAUUGCAUAAAUUCAUUUUAAAAACCAAAAUACGAACCAAAACCAAAGUACUGAGAAUCAAACCAAAUCAAAACUAAAGCAUCGAAGAAUCAAAUUGAAACCAUAUCAAACCAUAACCAUACCGAACCAAAACUGUAUCCAAAUUAUAUUUUGGUUCCAAUUUAUAGGCAGACCCCAAAUUGAAGUCGCACACCCCUAUCGUUGAUAGUUGCUUUAAUUGCCUCUAACAAAAUCAUGCUAUAAACAAUGUAGGACCAAAUAUUAAAAAGCUAGCAACUAAUGUUUAAGCGCUUAGAGAACCAAAUAUGGUGUUCGAUCUUAUACAUAUAAAUUCUAAAAUCCAUGAAUCCAAGGAAUUACUUUUUUCUUUUCCCCGUUUCAAUAUCACUAGCUAGUCUUUAUGUUUAGCUAGUCCUAUAUGAAAUUUCAAUCUUGCUAAAUGUCUACUAGUACCACCUAUAAAGUUCAACUUCAGUUCAUUCUCAUAACUUGAUCAAUGAGACUCAAGACUCAACUAAGCCUUUAUCUCAA